UGUCCAGACUCCUACGGGAGGCAGCAGUGGGGAAUAUUGCACAAUGGGGGAAACCCUGAUGCAGCGACGCCGCGUGAAGGAAGAAGUAUUUCGGUAUGUAAACUUCUAUCAGCAGGGAAGAAAAUGACGGUACCUGACUAAGAAGCCCCGGCUAACUACGUGCCAGCAGCCGCGGUAAUACGUAGGGGGCAAGCGUUAUCCGGAUUUACUGGGUGUAAAGGGAGCGUAGACGGCAGUGCAAGUCCGGAGUGAAAGCCCGGGGCUCAACCCUGGGACUGCUCUGGAAACUGUAAAGCUGGAGUGCGGGAGGGGCAGGCGGAAUUCCUGGUGUAGCGGUGAAAUGCGUAGAUAUCAGGAGGAACACCGGUGGCGAAGGCGGCUUACUGGACUGUAACUGACGUUGAGGCUCGAAAGCGUGGGGAGCAAACAGGAUUAGAUACCCGAGUAA
rnacentral:rRNA from 1 species